GGGAAGGUGGCUCAGUGGUAGAGUGCUUGCCUUGCAUGCAUGAGGCCCUGGGUUCGAUUCCUAAACAUCAUA
rfam:Dipodomys ordii contig_22540, whole genome shotgun sequence.